CUUGUAAAUACAGAUAUUCAUUAAAAAAUAUCUCACUCCAACAUCAAAAAUAUAUUUUAAACAUAACAUGUGAUGCUUACGGCAGGUGGUUUUCUAACUGACUCAACUUCUGUAGGUAGUUUCAGCUAACGAAUCUUACGAACUGGCCACACUGAUUAUGUCACAAAUUGUUUUGCUUCUUCCUCAUAGUCAAGGCUAGCUUUGUAAGUACAUAUAAAUCUUAUUAUAUAAAGUUUGGUUCUUCAAAGUUGCUAAUUAACAUGAUCACGACAUGUGUCAACAAAUUUUCUAAGAUUUUGACAUGUGUCAAAAAUAUGAUAUUUUUUUUUUAGGAUUUAAAAGAGAUUUAGAAAAUAAAAGUUAUUAUUACAAAAAUAUUAUUUUAAGAUUCUUUUAAGAUUUUAGAAAAAGACAAUCAAUACAAUACUAAAAGGAAGAUAUAAUCCACUGGGAGAGUGUCCACACAGGAUUGAAAAAUCAACCAAUCAUGAUAUAAGGUUUUGACACGUCAGCGGUUCCCUCAAUGUCUCUUUCUUCCGUAAAUCAUUAAACAUCUUGGGCUUGAAAAUUUCUUGGGCUUAUUGAUUUUUUUGUAGGGUUUCUUAGUUGUCGUCACAAGCAGUAACUCCCGUCAUAUUGUCUUCUACCAGUUCCUUUGACGGAGAAACUAAGUGUUGAUGGCAUUCAAUCAAUUCACCCACUUUCUCCUCAUCAAUACAGGUUUUUCUCCUCCCCCAUCAAUCGAAUUGGAUACAUAUAUAUAGUCUCUAGGAUCUCAAGAGGAAUCUCAAACGUCUUACGAAUCAUCUACCUGCGACAACCCUACAAGUAGAAGUUCUUAGAAUGGCGAUUACUCAGCUCCACUUCUCCGAUUUGAAAGCUGGUCGUUUGGAUGACAGAGUUGUCACAAGUCUUCUUUGUUUUGGGAGGCUAGGAACGCUAAGAAAUCUGGGGAGCUUAUGAGUGUGGAUUUCAUGCUCCUCAAUGAGAAGUGCCCUCGACAUUCCAAGAUUACGGGGAAGAAAGUCACAGUUGGUCUUAUCUCUGCAACCCCCUCUGAACGCAUCACUACUCUUUCCAACGGCGGCGUUAAAACCUAGCUCCAGUAUGGGGGGGGGGGGAAUUGUGAAGUGCAUUGAUUUAGUAAUGUUUCGUGCUGUUUAUAUGCCUUACCUACACGGACAGUAAAGCACGUGAUUAAUACACACCUGCUGGUGGCAAUCUCUAUCUUUUAGAUUGCUCUUUUCUAUGCUGCAACCUCAUACCUGGUGUGAGGCGGGAAGCUCGCAAGGUGUGAAGCGUGAAAGUGAGACUGAAACUGAAACUGAUGCCUGACUCAGAGAACCGGCUAGCUUCUCUUUGAUUUUUUUUUUCUAUCAUAUAUAUGGCUUAACAAUCUUAUGCUUUUCGAAAAGGUUUGGAGAAAAUCCAUGGUUACAGGAGAAAUAUAGAGCCACCACUGUGACACAUUUAAAACAAUUGGAGGCAAUGCAUGUUAAUAAAACAAGUUUCGGUUUUGAUUUGUCUCUCCACAUUAAUUUUUGAUAGCUACCCUAUUUAUACUUUGUCCCAGAGAAGAUUGCUGGUUAGUAGUUCCGGUCACCGGUGAGGUAACAAUGGUGUAGAAACUCUCGAGAGUUCUUUUGUGGGUUCAAAAAGAAAACAUGGCAAUGGUGGUGAAACACAUUUCAAUGAGCUUAGCAAUGGAGACACUGGGAAAACAGCUAUGGUUUCAAGAGGAGAGUUGACGUUUCAAGAUAUUUACGGUGCACAGGCAUUGCUGAAUGAAGACGAUGAGGAAGGCUAUAGUGAUUGGGAACCUCAGAAGAUGCCAGCUGAGUUUGUGAAAUGGUGUUGCUUCAAUUGCACUAUGGCAAAUCCUGGUGAUAUGGUUCAUUGUUAUGUAUAUUUUGCUUACUUUUUCAUGUUUGAAUAAUUUUGUUUCUGAUCUUAUCAUUACCAGCGUCUGCAAUUACUUGUCUGAGGCAUGGAUCUUUUGCAUCUCUGUUAUUUAAAAGACACUGGUCUCUCACCGAAGUCGAAGAGAAAUGUGGAGGAAAUUAAUCUGCAGCUAGCUCAACAGCUGUUGGUUUUGAGGACAUAAUGUUGCUGCACUCAGAAGUAUGAUUUUGUACCUGUUAUAGUUUCCUGAGAUAUCUGUUGACGUCAAUACAAUUUAUUUACCUCCAAAGCUUUUCUUCGUGCAAUUAUUUCGCAAGAGCUCCAGAUGGUCUACACUUUAGAGCAUGUUAAUUUCACAAGCCAGCUUCUCUAUAGCUACUUCACCGCCGACACAUACUAAUAAGUAUUGAGCACCUGCUGCUAAUCUAGCAGCAGGUUUGUGUGCUGAUCUAGCUAAAGAAAUUUCCUCAUGAUAAAAUGUUAAUCAGCCGGGAACUUAGAAGCUCAUUAUGUUUAAGCUCAGGUCAGAUUGGUAAGUUGCUCAAAUGUGUGUCCCGAGGUUAGAUGUCUUUAAACUUGCAACUAAAGGUAUAUUCACACAGCAGUUUUGGUGAGCCUGACAUGAACUGCUCGACAAGUUCGAAAAAGUAUGGGGGUGUUCAGAAAAUUUAAACUAUGACGGUCUCUGAGCUAAAUGCUUAUGUUCUCCAUUGUCAACCGCAUGUGCAUUCCGUUCCUGGUCCAUUCUGCUAAAUGUUAUCACAACAAUAUACAUAUUACACACAUGUAAUAUUACGUCUACAUCUUCAGUUGAUUAUUUUGUUCUGGUACUUAUCUUUUACCAGCUUAAACUUUAACGGUUUCGAUAGAUAAAUGUUUGGUUUAUCUCACUUGAUCAACUCCUCCGAAACUAAGUCAUUGCCUUCCAAAAAAAAUAUCAAAGUACUUUGAUGGAAUGAAUUAGCUACGCUGUUACAUACCAUAUUUACUUUACAAAUCCCAAGCUUUUUCAUAAGUCCAUAGUCAUCACCUCCAUCCAUUUCACACUUCCAACCACGUCAUUAUUUCGAAUCAAGAGUUUGACUAUAAUAUGAUGAGAAUAAAUAUACUCGAAGAUAAAAAAAAAUCUCGCUGAGUUCUACAAGUAAUAAACCUGUUUCUAAUAUUAGAUAAAAGUCACCGGAUUUGAAUAUUACUUGAUAAAUUACAGAGGUAUAAGAGAAACUAUUACAUGUUACCGCUACAAUAUAGUUGACCGGUUCGGCACAUGUUACUAUUACAAGCUAAUUACCAAAAUUAUUUUCAUCAUUUGACGAAUAUUUGUCCACCAUAUCUAUUACCAUAUUAAAUAAAACAAAACCACCUUCUAUGCUUUAACAUUUAGAACCAGAUUCAACCAAAACAAACCCAAAAAAAGUUAUGUAUCUUUAGACGAUGGAAAAAUAUGUGAAACCCCAUAAAUGACAUCAAAAAGUACAUAGACUAACAUUCUUGACACAAUGUUAAAAAAAGAACACAACUGCAACUCACAGAUACGGAGUAAAUGUCCAAAACAAACAUCAAUGCUACACUAACAAAUAUUAAGUUCGUCUAUUUCAUUCGAUACACACACGGUCAAUCAGUUUUAUAUCUUAAGAUAAUACUUCAAAAAGCAAGCUAGUGGAGUUUAUUAGAAGUUAUAUAUAUAAUUUAAGGAUUAAAUUUUGAAAUACACUUUUAAAAAUAAAAAUAAAAAUUAUAUUUUCAAAUAAAUUAUUAUUCUUUUACUGAAAAUUAAAAAUUGAAACAUCAUACAUUAAUUUUCAGUAUCUGUUAAAUUAUUGUUUUAUCUUCGUAACAAAAUAAUGAUGAGAAGUAAAAAUACAAUCUAUAUAUUUACAUCUUAUUUCAUUUGGGUGAGAGGUCUGUAUUCAUACAGAAGAAUACCGUAAAAAAAAAAGAAAUACCGUAAAUUAACAAAGCCCGAAUUUUACUUGAUUUUAACCCCAACUUGAUUUAGUUUUUUAUUUUUAUAUCAAUAAUUAUAACCCCUUCUCGAAUCAAUAAAAUAUUUAAUUUUAUUGAAACAAGUAGUUCUAAAAAAUAAAAAUAUCGCAAUAAGGAAAUAAAAUUAAUUGAAAAAUACGUCUAAAACAUUAAUAAAACUUAUAAGAAAAGUAAAUCAACAACAUAUAGUUAUGAAAUCAUAUAAUAUCUAUUUUCAAUAUUAUUAGCGUUUGCACUCAGAUAAUUUUAAAUUCAUUUUAUAAUUUAUGUUUUGUGAAAAUUGAUAGAUAUGCAUUAUAUAUAUAAUCAAAUAGUAAUAUAAUAUAUUAAACUAAACUAAAAUUUAUAUAAGUAACCCGGGCGUAGUCCGGGAAAACCACUAGUUAUCAACAUAAAUCAUCAACUUAUUUCUAUUACUUAACGAAAUAUGGAACAUAUUCAUACCUCGGUAGCCAAACCAAUGUCUUUUCCAUUUUCCAACAAUAACACCACAGCUCCACACCAAUUUAUACAAAUUUUGAAGACAAAUACAACGAUGAGACUCAAAUAUAUCAAACCAGAACGAAGAAAAACUAAAAACCAGACAAAAAGAACAGCGCUAAUAUAAUCUACAGCAACAAGAAGCUUCAAUAUGCAAGAAGAAUCUGCAGAAAUAAAAUGGGAAACAUUUAGUCUUAGUUUAGAUCAUUUGCGAACAUCCUCAUACCACUCAAAUUACCCUAAGGAGUGAGUUAUACUCUGUCAAAUACGAGGUUGAGUUGCAGUACUUAGGGAUCGAAUUCACAGGGAGAUAGGGAAUUUAAGAAAUCUAAUAUGAUUUGUUAAGCAGGGUGUUUUAAUGGUUUUAAAUGUAAAUUGCAGUUUUUAUGAAGCAAGUGUUUGCUCAAUUGAUUGGUUGAGGUUUAGGUGCUUAAAAGGAAAUAGCUAGACUUAGGGUUUUUAUUCAGGAAACUUGGGAUUAUAAUCCUACAGAUGCCUAAUGAGUUGCAUGCAUGAUAAUGUAAAGGUCAACUACUUAGUCAACGAGUCUAUCAGCUUGUGCAUGUUUGGACUUGUCUAUUAACUAGAUCUAAUGAUCUCAACUAUCGUAUGUCGAUCAAUUAGAAAUUGUUGAUCGAUGAUCCUAUAGGGAUAUCGAUCGAUUCACCUUUCGCUCCGUCGAUCGAUUAUUAAAUAAUGAUAUCGAUCGACGCGCUUCUAGUUAAGCUUUAUGCGCGGGUUGAAUGAUAGCUUACUAAGCUAACUAGAUCAGCUCUCGCCUUACUCAUACCACGAAACUUAGCUUAAUUAGAAUGUUUUUAGGAUGAGAAUGAAGCUCUCGCAUUUAUCUAUCAAUCCUAGGACAAGUUCUAGGUAGCUAAUCUAGAAACAAACAUUAAUGAACAAGCCUAAUUACAAUCACCACAACUCAGCAAUCUAUAGUUGGGGCUAAUCCCUCCUAACAUAUUUAAACCCUAAAAUCUAACAGUGAAACUACUAAGACAUGGCUAAGCAGUUCAUAACAUCAAUUAGGUAAGAAAACUUCACUAGAAUAGUAAAUAGAUAUAAAUGGAGUUCCAAUCACAAAUUAUAACUUUGGAUCUUCUCUUCAACCUAUCAAAAUCCUAGAAAACCUUGCUGUGAAAAAUAAUAAAACAAGAAAGCACACCUUGCCUCUAACAUGGUGGCAAAGCUUAUAUAAUUAGGUAAAAACUUGUCAGGGGUAACCAAACGGGCUUUCUGCGUGCUUCGCUGUCGAUCGAUGUUAAGACAUGAACAUCGAUCGAUUAUUCCUCUUCAUUAUCGACCGAUGGUCAAGCUCGAUGGUCAUCUCCAAAAUGCUCCAAAAUCAUCACUUAUCUCCAAAUCACUCCUGAUCCUAUAAAUAUUCUAAAUAGACUCUAUAAUAUAAUAAUUAGUAUUUAAAACACUUAUAAACCAUGGAUAAAAGUGGGUCAAAUUCAUAGUCUAUCAACUCCCCCAGACUUACCCUUUUGCUUGUCCUCAAGCAAAAUAAAUAUGCAGUCUCUCUGAAAGAGAUUUAAAAACAACAUGGACUCACAUGAUUUAAAAUUUAUAAUCAUCACCUCUACAAUAUUGCAAUCCACAUCUAAAAAGUCCUAAUC